AUUACUUUUUGGCAGCGUCGUUUUGAAUGACAGACGACGCCGUUUUGCUUUCUCUCUUUUUCUCUCCCAACGAUAAAACCCAAAGCCCGGAUAACACUCUACGGUUCACAGCUGCCUUAAAAAUCGAAUUCCACUGCAGCGGCACCUCUCUUUCCUCAAAAACCCUAAACCUCUUUCCCAUUGAUUUAUUUCAACUAAUAUUCGAUUUGCAUUUAGAAAAAUAUUUAGGAUUUCUAUUUACGGAAGAAUCCCCAAAAUUCUUUAAUCUCUCUCGCUACUCAAAUCUAAGCCAUGGAUGCACAGCGAGCUCUGCUUGACGAACUCAUGGGAUCAGCUCGUAAUUUAACGGAGGAAGAGAAAAAGGGAUACAGGGAAAUACGAUGGGAUGAUAAAGAGGUUUGUGCAUUCUAUAUGGUUCGCUUUUGCCCUCACGACCUCUUCGUCAACACUCGCAGUGAUCUCGGACCAUGCCCUAGAGUUCAUGAUCAAAAGUUGAAAGAAAGUUUUGAGAACUCCUCAAGACAUGAUGCUUUUGUGCCCAAGUUUGAAGCUGAAUUGGCUCAGUUUUGUGAGAAAUUGGUGAUGGACCUUGACAGAAGAGUUAGGCGUGGACGAGAACGCCUUACUCAAGAGGUGGAACCAGCACCACCUGCUCCACUAUCUGCAGAAAAGUCUGAACAGCUAUCUGUAUUGGAGGAAAAAAUAAAAAACCUGCUGGAACAAGUGGAAAACCUUGGUGAAGCUGGAAAGGUGGAUGAAGCUGAGGCGCUUAUGAGAAAGGUUGAAGCACUUAAUGCUGAGAAGACAGCCUUGAUUCAACAACCUCAAAAUGAUAAAGUAUUGAUGCUUGCACAAGAGAAAAAAAUGGCUCUAUGUGAAGUUUGUGGAUCUUUUCUAGUAGCUAAUGAUGCUGCUGAGAGGACUCAAUCCCAUGUUACAGGAAAGCAACAUAUUGGUUAUGGCAUGGUUCGUGAUUUCAUCUCUGAGUUCAAGGCAGCUAAGGAGAAAGCAAGGGAAGAGGAAAAAUUAGCAAGAGAGAAAGAAGUUGAAGAACGGAGAAAGCGGAGGGAGAAGGAAUAUGAGAGUAGGAGGAGGAGAAGUGAUUCUGGUGAUAGGGACAAGUAUCGUGAUCGAGACAAGGACCGAUAUCGGGAACGUGAUUUGGAUCAUGAAAGGUCUCGAGAGUGGAAUGGGAGAGGUAGUAGGGAUGGAGAGAGGGAUUCAAGGUACAAGAAUGGAAGAGAUGGAGGCAGGGAUAGGCACCAUAAUCGCAGCAGGUCACGUUCCCCUGGUAGGCAUAGUCACAGGAGGUCCUCAAGAAGUCCAGUUCGCCGAUACUAGUUCAUUCUGCAUGUAGAUGUUUUGGCUUUGAAAGCCUACGAGGUAGACCUCUUUUUUUUUUUUUUUUCUAGUUUAUAAAAGUGUGCUUUUGGAGUAGUGCUAAAUUUUUCAUCAUGGAUGGAACUUUUUUCUUGGUAUCUCACAGCUUUGUUGAGACUAUACCAACUCCCUUUCAUCAAAAUUACUAGAGAAGAAAAGGGUUGAGUGCAAAUGGGUUAGUUAGAGAACUUGAGAUUGCUAUGACUUGGGUUUUUGAAAGUAAAUUUUUAAUGAGGCGAGUAUCUUCACAAGAGUUGAUUGAGAUUAUAUUGCAUUUACCUUGGGGAAACAUUCAACUACUACACACCAUUGUCUGGGACACAGGAGAAAAUCAGAAAACAGGUGAAACUUAGAAAGGUUUGCUGUUGGAAGAUCAAGUAGUUGGUUCCCGGAAUCCGAUUUUAAUAGGUCUUUUUAACUCAUCCCUGGGGGUACCAAUAACCGGAAGAAUUGGCAUUGAAAGAGCAGAAAGCACAUUACUCAAGUAUUCGAUGUCAACCGAGAGCUGUAGUGCUCGCGAUCUGUUAUGUACUGGAUGCCACGGUGCUGCUCCCCACGUGAAGGGCAGUGGCACCUUCAGCAACCUUUCCAAACACUGGCGGAAAUAUAUGUGUUAUGUUAGUUAUACAGUAGACAUAAAACAAUUUCUUCCUCAAUAUAAUAUUUAAACAUCUUUCAUCCUUUCUUUCUUCUCCUCCCCCACCCACAACCGCACCCCCUUUCUAAAAGAAAUUUCCUUUUGCAAUAUUAAAAAAAAAUAAAAUAAGAAAGCAUGGAAAAACAGCUUUGUUAAUUGAAACACUAAAGCAUUGAAAUGUUGACAAUACCACUUCCAUUCUUUUUCAAGAUAGAGUAGCAACUCAUCAUAGAAGCCUGGCAACCAACUAGAGAACAAAACUGUGGGAGAACUUGACUGCAAUUCAUUACUGCUUGAUGGCCUUUCAAUUUCAUUCUUCUCAUUAGCAAUCUUACUUGGUCGGUGCUUGGAGUCAAAAUCAUCCCACAGUUGCUUUAUAGGCUUUAGGUGAACUUUUGUAUAGUGCUCCUCCAAAGACUCGAAUCUAAUCUUCCAAUUCAAUAAGAAUUUAUCGCAUUGUUUUGUCAGGGAUUAAGUGUUAG